rnacentral:rRNA from 1 species
AAUUUUGGACAAUGGGGGAAACCCUGAUCCAGCCAUCCCGCGUGUUCGCUUAAUGCCUUCUGUUUGUAAAUCACUUUUUGCAGGAAAGAAACGUCGUGGGUUACUACCCCGCGAUACUGACGGUACCUGCAGAAUAAGCACAGGCUAACUCCGUGCCCGCAGCCGCGGUAAUACGUAGGGUGCAAGCGUUAAUCGGAAUUACUGGGCGUAAAGCGUGCGAAGGCGGUUCGGAAAGAAAGAUGUGAAAUCCCAGAGCUUAACUUUGGAACUGCAUUUUUAACUACCGAGCUAGAGUGUGUCAGAGGGAGGUGGAAUUCCGCGUGUAGCAGUGAAAUGCGUAGAUAUGCGGAGGAACACCGAUGGCGAAGGCAGCCUCCUGGGAUAACACUCACGCUCAUGCACGAAAGCGUGGGGAGCAAACAGG